rnacentral:rRNA from 1 species
GAUGAACGCUAGCGGGAGGCUUAACACAUGCAAGUCGAGGGGCAGCAUAGGGUAGCAAUACUUUGAUGGCGACCGGCGCACGGGUGAGUAACGCGUAUGCAACCUACCCAGUACAGGGGGAUAGCCCGGAGAAAUUCGGAUUAAUACCCCAUAAUGAUAUUUAAAGGCAUCUUUUAAUAUUUAAAGUUUCGACGGUACUGGAUGGGCAUGCGUGACAUUAGCUAGUUGGUAGGGUAACGGCCUACCAAGGCUUCGAUGUCUAGGGGUCCUGAGAGGGUGAUCCCCCACACUGGUACUGAGACACGGACCAGACUCCUACGGGAGGCAG